UACGGAGGAUCCAAGCGUUAUCCGGAUUUAUUGGGUUUAAAGGGUGCGUAGGCGGAUUGACAAGUUAGAGGUGAAAUGUCCGAGCUCAACUCGGGAACUGCCUCUAAUACUGUUGAUCUAGAGAGUAGAUGCGGUAGGCGGAAUGUAUGGUGUAGCGGUGAAAUGCUUAGAGAUCAUACAGAACACCGAUUGCGAAGGCAGCUUACCAAUCUAUAUCUGACGUUGAGGCACGAAAGCGUGGGGAGCAAACAGG
rnacentral:rRNA from 1 species